GGUGCUGCUGCCACUCACUGUGAAGGUUACUAUCUGUCUUUUAUUGUAAUUACAAAAGCUUACUGCAAAACCCGAAACCUUGCUGGGAAAUCGCCUACCUACACAAAGAACACAGAGUCCCUAUCGUUUCAGAGUUCAGUUCUUUCUGAGCUUUUUGAUAAAGGAGUUUUUGUCUGCCUUGGGAAGCUCCAACACGGAGGAACUGAAAAUCCAGAUCCUAUCGGCUUUCCUUGAAGGAGGUGUUACAGUGUGUUUAUUCUCCCGCUGUUUGCUUUCACCACCCCGGGCUCAAGAUUUGAAUACUAUAAUCACAAUGCGGGAGGGUGUUGGAGGUAUUUAUUUUUAUUCCCACUGCCAGCAUCAUCACGGUGUGUGAUCCAAAUUCACACGCCUCAGACAGACAACAUGUGGCCCCACUGGGCAGCUGCUUCCCCAAGGCUGAGAUACCGUUAAGGUUCAUGUUUUGCCUCAUCAAAAAGGUCUCAAAUUUCUUUCAAAGCAUCAAAGUGCUCAGAAUAAAACAAAACAAACAAACAAACAAAACAACCAACCAACCACACAGAAGUUAUCCAAGAAGAAAGGAACCAGACUGCUGGACUUGGCCAAGAAUAAAUGGAACUAGAGUUUCAACAUCUUCCUACCCUGUAAAGUUGCAAAUCUGUAGCCUUUGAAAACUGUGAAGAUGGGAAAUGUAGCAAACUGAAUUGAACAUUUACCAACAAUUGUUUGGAGAAUUCUCCUGCCUUUUUGGGUAAGAAACUGUUUACAGCCAUGAUUAUAAGAACCCUCGUUUUUAUUCUCCUUAGUAAACUGGGGCUGCCAACGUCUGAAGUUCUCUUAUCUGCUCAGACAUUCUUUGAUCCACCCACCUUAAACAGAACAGGAAAAAGGGUUUGUUUUGGUCUUGUUUUUAAGCAUUGUCACACCCUAAGUAGAAAAAUUUUAGAUUGUGUAUUAGACUAGACAAAUUAAAAACACCUAAA